AGCGAACGCUGGCGGCAGGCCUAACACAUGCAAGUCGAACGCCCCUUCGGGGGAGUGGCGGACGGGUGCGUAACGCGUGGGAAUGUGCCCUUUGGUACGGAACAACUGAGGGAAACUUCAGCUAAUACCGUAUGUGCCCUACGGGGAAAAGAUUUAUCGCCAUUGGAGCAGCCCGCGUUGGAUUAGGUAGUUGGUGGGGUAAUGGCCCACCAAGCCGACGAUCCAUAGCUGGUCUGAGAGGAUGAUCAGCCACACUGGGACUGAGACACGGCCCAGACUCCUACGGGAAGCAGCAGUGGGGAAUCUUGCGCAAUGGGCGAAAGCCUGACGCAGCCAUGCCGCGUGAAUGAUGAAGGUCUUAGGAUUGUAAAAUUCUUUCACCGGGGAAGAUAAUGACGGUACCCGGAGAAGAAGCCCCGGCUAACUUCGUG
rnacentral:rRNA from 1 species